rnacentral:lncRNA from 1 species
UUCACUAUCACAGGUUUACUUACAAUUUAUAUGUCAUUAAAACCUCAUAAGGUCAUGUAAUCAUUUGUGCCUUUCAACUUGAUCAUUCAAUACUUAGUAGUCAUGCUUGUAUAUAUACAACACAUGUAUACUUUACUCACAUAGUUCCUAUAUUAGAAAUUUUCAUUUUAUGACUAUGUGUGAAAUAAGUGAAAACCAUACAUUAACCAAACGAUGUUCAUGCCAAUAUGUCUAUAGGCAUAAUGAG